GAUGAACGCUAGCGAUAGGCUUAACACAUGCAAGUCGAGGGGUAACGUGUUGGAAGCUUGCUUCCGAUGACGACGACCGGCGGAUGGGUGCGUAACGCGUAUGCAACUUGCCUCACAGUGGAGAAUAACCCGGAGAAAUCCGGACUAAUACUCCAUACACUCUUAAGUACGCCUGUACAUGAGAGGAAAGAUUUAUCGCUGUGAGAUAGGCAUGCGUCCUAUUAGGUAGUUGGUGAGGUAACGGCUCACCAAGCCGACGAUAGGUAGGGGUGCUGAGAGGCAGAUCCCCCACAUUGGGACUGAGACACGGCCCAAACUCCUACGGGAGGCAGCAGUGAGGAAUAGUGGUCAAUGGAGGAAACUCUGAACCAGCCAAGUCGCGUGAAGGAAGAAUGUCCUAAGGAUUGUAAACUUCUUUAGCGAGCGAGUAAGGACUUCCACGUGAUGGGAGUUUGAAAGUAGCUCGAGAAUAAGUAUCGGCUAACUCCGUG
rnacentral:rRNA from 1 species